rnacentral:misc_RNA from 1 species
GAUGAAGAAUGCAGCGAAAUGCGAUACUUGGUGUGAAUUGCAGAAUCCCGUGAACCAUCGAGUCUUUGAACGCAAGUUGCGCCUCAAGCCAUUAGGUUGAGGGCACGUCUGCCUGGGCGUCACAUAUCGUUGCCUGAUGCCAGUUUCCUCGUGAUGGGUGACUGUGCAGGGCGAAUGAUGGCUUCCCGUGAGCAUUGUUGCCUCAUGGUUGGUUGAAAAUUGAGUCCUUGGUAGGGGGCGCCGUGAUAGAUGGUGGUUGAGUGACGAACGAGACCCAAUCAUGUGAGACCCCUACCGAAUUUGGCCUUCAUGACCCACAUGCGUCUUUGGAACGCUCAUGACGAGACCUCAGGUCAGGCGGGGCUACCCGCUGAGUUUAAGCAUAUCAAUAAGCGGAGGA